AGAGUUUGAUCAUGGCUCAGGACGAACGCUGGCGGCGUGCCUAAUACAUGCAAGUCGAGCGAACCUUUGGGAGCUUGCUCCCAAAGGUUAGCGGCGGACGGGUGAGUAACACGUGGGCAACCUGCCUAUAAGACUGGGAUAACUUCGGGAAACCGGAGCUAAUACCGGAUAAUUCUUUUCUACACAUGUAGAAAAGCUAAAAGACGGUUUACGCUGUCACUUAUAGAUGGGCCCGCGGCGCAUUAGCUAGUUGGUGAGGUAACGGCUCACCAAGGCCACGAUGCGUAGCCGACCUGAGAGGGUGAUCGGCCACACUGGGACUGAGACACGGCCCAGACUCCUACGGGAGGCAGCAGUAGGGAAUCUUCCGCAAUGGACGAAAGUCUGACGGAGCAACGCCGCGUGAGUGAUGAAGGUUUUCGGAUCGUAAAACUCUGUUGUUAGGGAAGAACAAGUACGAGAGUAACUGCUCGUACCUUGACGGUACCUAACCAGAAAGCCACGGCUAACUACGUGCCAGCAGCCGCGGUAAUACGUAGGUGGCAAGCGUUGUCCGGAAUUAUUGGGCGUAAAGCGCGCGCAGGCGGUCCUUUAAGUCUGAUGUGAAAGCCCACGGCUCAACCGUGGAGGGUCAUUGGAAACUGGGGGACUUGAGUGCAGGAGAGAAGAGGAAUUCCACGUGUAGCGGUGAAAUGCGUAGAGAUGUGGAGGAACACCAGUGGCGAAGGCGACUCUUUGGCCUGUAACUGACGCUGAGGCGCGAAAGCGUGGGGAGCAAACAGGAUUAGAUACCCUAGUAGUCC
rnacentral:rRNA from 1 species